rnacentral:rRNA from 1 species
UACGGGAGGCAGCAGUGGGGAAUAUUGCACAAUGGGCGCAAGCCUGAUGCAGCCAUGCCGCGUGUAUGAAGAAGGCCCUUCGGGUUGUAAAGUACUUUCAGUCGUGAGGAAGGUGUUAAGGUUAAUAACCUUAGCAAUUGACGUUAGCGACAGAAGAAGCACCGGCUAACUCCGUGCCAGCAGCCGCGGUAAUACGGAGGGUGCGAGCGUUAAUCGGAAUUACUGGGCGUAAAGGGCACGCAGGCGGUUAAUUAAGUUGGAUGUGAAAUCCCCGGGCUUAACCUGGGAAUGGCAUUCAAGACUGGUUAGCUAGAGUCUUGUAGAGGGGGUAGAAUUCCAUGUGCAGCGGUGAAAUGCGUAGAGAUGUGGAGGAAUACCGGUGGCGAAGGCGGCCCCUGGGACAAAGACUGACGCUCAUGUGCGAAAGCGUGGGGAGCAAACAGGGAUUAGAUACC